rnacentral:rRNA from 1 species
UACAGAGGUCCCAAGCGUUGUUCGGAUUCACUGGGCGUAAAGGGUGCGUAGGUGGUCGGGUAAGUCCGAUGUGAAAUCUCCAGGCUCAACCUGGAAAUGGCAUUGGAUACUAUCCGGCUUGAGGAGUGGAGGGGGGGACUGGAAUUCUCGGUGUAGCAGUGAAAUGCGUAGAUAUCGAGAGGAACACCAGUGGCGAAGGCGGUUCUCUGGGCAUUACCUGACGCUGAGGAGCGAAAGUGUGGGGAGCGAACAGG